AUUGAACGCUGGCGGCAUGCUUUACACAUGCAAGUCGAACGGUAACAGGUUAAGCUGACGAGUGGCGAACGGGUGAGUAAUGCAUCGGAACGUGCCCGGUCGUGGGGGAUAACGCAGCGAAAGCUGCGCUAAUACCGCAUACGAUCUAAGGAUGAAAGCGGGGGACCGUAGGGCCUCGCGCGAUCGGAGCGGCCGAUGUCAGAUUAGGUAGUUGGUGGGGUAAAGGCUCACCAAGCCAACGAUCUGUAGCUGGUCUGAGAGGACGACCAGCCACACUGGGACUGAGACACGGCCCAGACUCCUACGGGAGGCAGCAGUGGGGAAUUCUGGACAAUGGGCGAAAGCCUGAUCCAGCAAUGCCGCGUGCAGGAAGAAGGCCUUCGGGUUGUAAACUGCUUUUGUACGGAGCGAAAAGGUCUCCUCUAAUACAGGGGGCUCAUGACGGUACCGUAAGAAUAAGCACCGGCUAACUACGUGCCAGCCGCCGCAGUAA
rnacentral:rRNA from 1 species